UACAGAGGUCUCAAGCGUUGUUCGGAUUCAUUGGGCGUAAAGGGUGCGUAGGCGGCGCGGUAAGUCGGGUGUGAAAUUUCGGAGCUUAACUCCGAAACUGCAUUCGAUACUGCCGUGCUUGAGGACUGGAGAGGAGACUGGAAUUUACGGUGUAGCAGUGAAAUGCAUAGAGAUCGUAAGGAAGACCAGUGGCGAAGGCGGGUCUCUGGACAGUUCCUGACGCUGAGGCACGAAGGCCAGGGGAGCAAACGGG
rnacentral:rRNA from 1 species